rnacentral:misc_RNA from 1 species
GAUGAAGAACGCAGCGAAAUGCGAUAAAUAAUGUGAAUUGCAGAAUUCAGUGAAUCAUCGAAUCUUUGAACGCACAUUGCGCCCGUCAGUAUUCUGGCGGGCAUGCCUGUUCGAGCGUCAUUACGCCCCUCAAGUCCCCUGUGGACUUGGUGUUGGGGAUCGGCGAGGCUGGUUUUCCAGCACAGCCGUCCCUUAAAUUAAUUGGCGGUCUCGCCGUGGCCCUCCUCUGCGCAGUAGUAAAACACUCGCAACAGGAGCCCGGCGCGGUCCACUGCCGUAAAACCCCCCAACUUUUUAUAGUUGACCUCGAAUCAGGUAGGACUACCCGCUGAACUUAAGCAUAUCAAUAAGCGGAGGA